AACUUCGGAUCAGGGAAGGGAUUCCCCGCUUAAACUUAAGCAUAUCAAUAAGCGGAAGGGAAAGAAAAACCAACAGGGGAUUGCCUCAAGUAACGGCGGAGUGAGGCGGCAACAGCUCAAAUUUUAGAAAUCUGGCUUUCGGGCCCGAGUGGUAAUUUGUAAGAGGGAAGUCUCGAAGGCGGCUCGGCUAAGUCCUGAACGGGGCGUCAUAGAGGGUGAGAUUCCGUAGUGCGGCCGUCAUCAAUGGCAUCUCGACAGUCAGUGUGGAUGCACCUAAAUGGUGAUCACUAGCUAAUCGCAGAUGAAUGCCAGUAGAUCGAGGAAGCUGGAA
rnacentral:rRNA from 1 species